GUCUGGCCACACAGGGCGGCAUUCUUUACACGGAGCAGCCGUGGUGCCAGGGUCUAAGCCCUUGCUUUUCCGAUUUAAACCCUAUGAGUUCAUCCAGAACUGACAUGCCUUGGAAAACCAAGGUACACACCAUGUACCAAUUUAUAAAUGUACCGUGGAGUCUGCCACUUUCUAACCAAAAGAUGCUUGUUUUUAUUUUUCUCAUCCAAAAUCUCCUCUUCCUGAAUUAGUGGGCUUGAGACUUUAAAUGGUUAUAAAGAUUACUGAGUUAGCAUGGAAUAAGAGCAAAGAAGCUGAUUUAAUCUAGUGAACAUUUCCUUCAGGCCACAGUAAAGCCCAGACACUAAUCCUUUCUUUAUUCUGAUCAUCUGCCAGAAUACUCCACUGUGCCCAGUAGCAGAGCAUCCUUCCUGGACUGCUGAAGAAAUUGACACGUCCUUACAUUUUGCAGAUGACAUAAUCUUGGGUCUGUGCAGGUGAUUCAGUGACAGUUAUCUUCCAUUCAUCUGUUGGUUUGCUUGCAAAGAUUUACAGGCUCUCUUAGUUCCUUUGCUGGAAUCUCAUCAACUUAUUUAUAAAUUUUUUUAAAUUCAUUUAGAAUACCUUAGGUAGUUAACUCAUUAAAUGAUUAACUAAUCUCAAUGGCUUCUGAGAGUCAGAGUAGGAUAAUAAUUAGGAACAUAGGCCAGACUGUAUGGGUUUGAAUUCUGAUUCUACCACUUAAUGACUGGGCAAAUGUUUCUACUUUUCUUCGGCUCAGUUUCCUUAUCUGUAAAAGGGGGAUAUAGCAAUGGUACCUACUUGAUAGAAUUGAUGUGAAGAUUAAAUGGGUUUGUAAGCGCUUAGAGCAAUACCUGGCAGUAAUAAGCACUCAGGCUAGGGAUGGUGGCCCAGGCCUGUAGUCGUAACUACUCAGGAGGCUGAGGUAGGAGGAGCCCAAGAGUUGAGUCCAGCCUGAGCAACAUGGCAAGACCUGUCUCUUAAAUAACAAACAAAACAACCAAACAGUAGGUACUUUUAGGAAUAGGAAGUAGCGAGGUGAGCGGAUCAUGAGGUUGCAGGUUCGAGGAAUAGGAAGUAGCUAUUUACUAUUGUCACGACUCUGCGUGGGUUAGCACUGAGAAAACAAAGGUAAGUGAAAGAGUAAAAGCAGGUGUGGUCCCUGCUUUCCUGGAGUUUAUUUAGUCUCAGGGGAAACCAACGUGAAUUAGUAAUUCCUCAAACAAGUGCAAAGUCCCAAGUGUAGCAAGGGUCUGUGAUAAAGGAGCUAGAGUUUCAGUGGGAUCGGAGGCAGCUUCCCUGAGGAAGGAUUGCAUCAGCUGCAGUCUGAAUAGGUACAGUGAUAGAAGUCAACAGUGAUUACCUGGGGGGUAGGGAAGGUGUAGGCUGGAAAGGGGAAAGAGGGAAACUUCUGGGUCUUACGAAUGUCCUAAAUCUAGAUCUGUGUGCGAGUUCCAUGAGGAUAGACAUCCGCAAACAAUUACUGAGCUGUAUACUUUACCGCACUUUAUAUCAUAGUGAAGUAAAUGAAUAGGCAUUAGUUAGGUCAGAGAAGAGGAGGAAAUGUUGCUGGUAGAGGGAAGGGCAUGUACACAAACCCUGUGACAGGAGGGAAUGGGAUAAAUGCCAGGUCUAGAAAAAGCUAGUGUGGCUGGAACAGGGAGAGCAAGAGGGAACAUGGUGGGGGUUGAAGCCAAAAGAGGAGUGGGGCCUCAUGAGUCCUCAGGAGAUUUUCCUUUUACUGAGGUCAUUGGGAUGCUGUUGGAGAGUAAUUUAGCAGGUGGGAUAAGGCAUGGUUAGAUUUGCUCUGGAGAGAGAUCUUGGGGAGGUCGGAAUGGAAGAGUGUGCUUUGCAAUAGACUGUGCGAGGUGAUAAUAUGGACCAGGUUGUGGUGGAGGGCAGUGGGUAUCUUUAGGAGGUGGAGUUAACUUGGGGAAUACUAAUGGAGGUGGGUUAGUAAUGGGGAAUACUAAUGGGGAAAGGCCAGGGAUGGUUUUUCUGAGGUUUCUGGCUUCUAUGCCUGGAUAGUUGGUUGUGUUGAACCUGGAGCUAGGCUGGAGGAUUGGGGAAGAGCGGGUGUGGGCAAACUGAAUGGAGGUGACUUUGAGACAUCGAAGAGAUGUCAAGUAAUUAGCUGGAUAUAAAUAAUCUUUUAAAUUGGAAUAACACUGAAGACGCUCAGUUUCAGAGGUAAUUCAGAGGUAAGAGGUGAUUUUUCAGGGUUCUCCAACUAUUAAGUGGUAAAGCUGGUCUCGGAGCUGGAUCCUGUGACUUCCAACCCAGGGUCUUCCCACAUCAUUGGGUCUUCCUUUUGUAUUUGAUAAGUUCACUUCAUCUUGACUUGAUUCUUACUAGCUGUGAUCCUAGAGGCUGAUGUUCUGAUUUUCCUGAGUUCUAUGGGCAUACCUUGGAGCCCAUUGCCCACUGAGCCUUGACUGCAAUGAGGCAGAGGCUCUUAGUUUUACAUCUUCCAUUGGAGGAGCACAUUGCUCCCCAGGGCUCCUCUGACUAAGCCUGAUUCAAGGUACUCUAGGUAUUUUAGGAGCUAAUAUCCUCUCCAUCUGGCCCUCUGGAAGGGCUGACGUGCUCUGCCGCAGCGGUUGGAUAUGACCAAGGAGGAGGAAUCAUUGAAACCAGGGCCUGCUUUGCCAGUGGUAAGUGUUUCUCUCCAACGGCAGCAGCUGGUACUCAGAAGGUUCUUAACGUCCCUGAUUUCUGUGCUACUUUCUAAAGGCUGUGGGAGGAAGAGAACCCUGGCCUGAAGCAAAGGGAAGGUGGAAUUGUUCUCAGCCUGGCACCACUUGCUUAAGGGCUGGACCUUUGCUCUCACUGGCGCAGCUUUACCCAAGCUGCCGUCUAGCUUCUCAGGUCCUUUAUUUUCUGGGGUCAGCCUCACUUCUUCCUCUGCCGUUAGCAGGAAGUGUCUUCCGUUCAUGUGCUUGCAGGGUGCUGCCACCCCUCACCCGCCUCCCUGCUGUUGAGGUUCAUCAGAGUCAUUCAGAUGACUCCUCUUUCCUUGCGGUCCCCUCCUCUGGUCUUUAUAGACUUAAACCCUCUUCCCAAGGUGUUCUGUGCUGACCGCUGGAAGGCUGUGGUUUCAACAAAGCCAGUGGCCAGGGCCUGUGACGCAGGCCCUCAUAGCACAGCCCAGAAUAGCCUCGGCCUUGCUGCUUUUCCAGCUGCCCUAUCACUUUGCAAGCUGGGAUCUAAUUUGCUGUCCACCCUCUCAACCCUAGUCUCAGCCAGUGCUCAUGAAAUAUUUAUAAUCACAGAUUAUGUUUCCCUAUGAGUAUAAACUUGCUUUUGUUUUUUUUUCCCCCUUGUGUGCCCUUAAGAAUCUGCCCCAACAGGUCAAAGGGCCUUAUUCUCUGGUUUCAUGGAUUUUAUCACACUUUCUUUGCUGAAGGGGCUAGCUCCACUUACGGUCUGACUCCCUCUGCUAGACCACUGCUGAAAUGAGAAAAGAGCUCUAGAUUAGCUCUUGUAGUCAGAGACCUGGGUUCCAGAUGGAACCCUGCUGCUAACUAGCCUCUCAAGGAGUUAGGAGCUUACUGCUGGAGGGUUUGGUGCUCAGGACCUCUGGCCAGUGGGUGUGACUCCUAAGGGCCAGCCAUGUUGAGGGAUGUGCGUCCUUGGCUGCUGAUGGGGUGAAGGGGGACCUGGCCAAAGUGUGUGCAGAGAGGUCUUGCCACCAUCAGCACUCCUGAAGCUAGUCACCUCUGGCAGAGAUGUCCAGUCCACUUCCUGUGUGUCUUUGGGAAUUAGCACAGAAAGCAGGGAAAUUAAGAGUCUUCCCAAGUACCAGCCGCUGCAGCUGGGAAAAAGCACCUACCACUGAGUUUCUCCCCUGAAACUCUCAAGCCCAGCCUUGCACUUAUGAGGGCAGUGGCCCCUGAGGCUGAAUUCACUGGAGGUGUGCUUCCUCCUGUUUUAGAGUGAGGAGGGGGGCCAGGACUGGGGUCUCCCUGGAGGUGAUCCUACUAUACAGGCAGGAGCCCAAGGCCAUUCCACUCCAACCUCCCUGUGCAGAGCCGCCUCAGUGUCCUUGCUCCUCUCAUUACCUUUCUUGGCCUCUUCUCAUGGUCUUUAAUUUUCUUUCUCAGUGGCUGAGAAAUGUUGCUUUUGACAAAAAUUGUAUAAUACUGGAAUAAAAUCCUUAACUGAAAUUUGAAUCUGUACCAGUAGCUGCAUUUCUUUUCUUGUAAUUUUGUAAUUCAGACUUAAAAUCAUGGGACUUUUGUUUUGUUCUUUCCCACCUGGAGGAUGGUAACAGAUCACAGUUCAGUUCUUCCCAGCAUUUUGGACACCUUCUUCCUGAAUUAUUUUGUGAAAUAUUAGUAAUUUUCUGAAUUAUUUGGGCUUCCUGAGCUGAAAGUGGUGAUGAGUUUGCUUUUCAACUUUCAGUAUAAAGAUGGUGAUUCCCAGCCAGAUUUGGAAACAGUAAUGAUCUGUUGUCAUUGCUUGAUAUUGUGGCAGGCUGUUUCAUAAGACACACCACAGGCAUUUUUUUAAAUGAAAAUUAAACUUUUUUUGGGAAUUUCACAAGAGCUCUUGAAUAAUCGUGAUACCUUUGGAUAUUACAAAACCUUAAUUGGCAAUUGAUUUGAGGCCAAGUGUUUACAUGCUCAGUAAAGACAGCUCUUGGCCAGUCUGGACUGAUGAUCCAGUGUGUGAUCAAAGCUGCACUCCCUCCUCCCCACUGAGCUCCCUUUUGAUUGGCACCAGUUCUCAGGGGGCUGCCUAGCAUAGGAAGAGGAGAGAAAGAGAGACCUUUGGGUGUGGUCUUUUCAAGGGAUGUUACGCCUGGCCUCCAGUGGGUUUCCCAGACAGAGAGUGGGCUCUGCUGCCCCAUUCCCACAGGCUAACCCAGUGCCCUUUCUGGCUGGCCAUGGCUGAUAACCUGCAAAGAGGCAGCACACAUGGGUCAAUAAGUGGGGCUUUCAUUUGUCCAUGUGUCUCACUGACAUCCUGUUAACCAACUGCAUUAACUCAUCAGUUUGCUGCCAGCUCUGGUAAAAGGUUUGCAGGUAAAGAAGGAUGAAAUCCUUGCUGAAAUGAGCUUUCAAGGUUAUCUCUGGAUUUUGUUUCUCCAGGCUGGGUCUCAAUAAUUGAGGGCAAGGCUUUGUUGGAGGUAACUCACCUAUGGCUUCAGAAUAGUUUAUUUCAGAACAAAGCUGACAUUCCCACCAUUGUGGUUUGGACCAUUCAUGAUGACCAUGUCAACAUGGAGGGCUGUGGAGCCACCCAAAUUUUGCAUAUGAGAGUAACAGAUUUGUGACAAGAACUAGAGUUUUCUAAUGCCCAGUCCACCUCUUUUCAUUGCAUCUGACAGUGUCGCUGAGCACUCUCUUUUACCACUGAGUUUAAAAACCUGAUGAACUUUCUGAAAAAUAGUGGUGUUUUUUUUUUUAAAAGAGACUCUGUCUGUCACCCAGGCUGGCGUACAGUGGCAUGAUCUCAGGUCAUUGCAACCUCCACCUCCCAGAUUCAAGCAGGUCUUGUGCCUCAGCCUCCCAAGUAGCUAGAACUACAGGUACUCACCGCCACACCCAGCUGAUUUUUGUAUUAUUAGUAGAGAUGGGGUUUCACCAUGUUGACCAGGCUGGUCUCAAACUCCUGACCUCAAGUGAUUCACCUGCCUUGGUCUCCUGAAGUGUUGGGAUUACAGGCGUGAGCCACCACACCCGGCCCGAAAAAUACUUUUGGAUGGGGCUAUACCUGUCCAGCCUGUAGGGGCAGGAAGCAGCAUUGCUUGUGAGGAGUUGGGAGAAUCUCAGCUGCCCUGAGGAGCAGGACUUCCCAAGGCAUGUGGAUCAGGCGGUUGAAGUAUGUGGUGCGCGUGGGUUGGAGGGAGGCAGGAUGCUUGUGAGCUGUGGUCUGAAACCUCUCUGACCCCUGUAUUCCUCACUGGAUCUGAGAGCUUCAGAGCCCAUCUCACUGCUUUUUCUUUCUUCUGAAUAGGUGCUUCCUCACUGGGAUCCACAUGAUUUCCGAACCCCACUGGCAGACGUCUACCUCUGUGCAGCACUUUUGCAGAGUGCCUUCACCUUUUAGUCCUAGAAAGUUUCUUCCAGCCUAGAACUUCUGUGACUCCAGGCCUUGGCGACAACUCUGAGUCGUAGGUAGGGCUGGUGUCGCUCUUUUAAAGAUAGACAACUGUAAGUUAGUGGUGGAGUUGGACCAGUGUUCUUCUAUGGGGCUCAGGCUGAGCUCUGUCACUCCCAGCAUAGCACUUCUUACAGCACUGUGAAAUUGGGCAAGCCUAUGGGCUCAGGAGCAGUCUCUGUCUUGUUCAUAGUUGUCACUGAUGCCCAGUAGUAGAGGCGCAAAAAUAUGAGAGCUGAAAAGUUAAAAUUCAUAUUCUCAAUUUAGGAGUCUGCAUGUAGACAUCUAGUUUAGGGGUUGGUAAAAAUCAAGACAUUAUGGACUGUCGUCUACAAGGACCCGUGGUGGACAGAGUUGCAUAUUUCCACAUAGAUCCUUAUCCCAAGGGCUUCACCCACACUAGCCAGAUGCCCAGUGUUUCCUGUUUCCCCAUUAAACUCCAGUUAAUGACUCCAGUUUAAGACAUCCUAUGAUAUCUAUAACCCCACUAAGCUGGAGUGUGUUUUUACUUUUCAAGUUUAGGAGGAAAAAAAGCUGUACAAGAGAUAAGGCAGUGGUUUUCAGCUGGGGACAUUUGGCAAUGUCUGGAGAUAGUGUUGGUUGUCACAACUGGGGGCAGCAUCUAGUAGGUAGAGGCCAAGGAUGCUGCUGGCCAUGCUACAAUGUCCAGAACCACCCCCACAGCAAAGAACUCCUUGGCCCCAAGUGUUGACAGUCUUACAGGUGAGACCUGUUGUGUAUAAGGAGGACAGAGAGCAUCUGGGAGUCAUCAUGAGCCGAUGGUUCAUAAAUAGUGUAGAAUUAUAGGAAUGAAGCCACGUUGCAAUCCAUAAGUACGCACUUGAUCACUGUUUAUCUGCCCAUUGCCAUGAUUUGGGCCCUAAAGCUGGAGCAGUUGAUGGAAAAUUUGGAAAGGCUGUAGCUAACUGAACGGUUGAGGCCAGCAGUGAAGGCCAUUGGAGGAUUGGGACAAUUUGGCUCACAGAGUGAGGUGGGGAGACCUGGUCCACAUGAUUGCAUGUACAGUGCUUUGGGUUGGGGACUGAGGCCAAAGCUUUAGCUCGGGCUCGGCCACUGGCUUGCAUGUCAGGUCACUUUUCUCAGAGUUUUGGUUUCUGCUUCUGCCCUUACCUCUCAGGACUGUCUUAGUGGCACUAGCAACCUUCCUGCCUUACAAAUCUUAAAACUUUGGAGUCACUUUUGGGUUUGUCCUACUUUUCCCUUUACGUGGUUUUUUUUUUUUUUUUUGAGAUGGAGUCUUGCUCUUAUUGCCCAGGUUGGAGUGCAGUGGUGCAAUCCUGGCUCACCACGAUCUCUACCUUCCAGGUUCAAGUGAUUCUCCUGCCUCAGCCUCCCGAGUAGCUGGGGUUACAGGUAUGUGCCACCAUGCCCGGAUACUUUUGUAUUUUUAGUAGAGACGGUUUUUUUCCAUGUUGGUUGGACUGGUCUUGAACUCCUGACCUCAGGUGAUCCACCCACCUCGGCCUCCCAAAGUACUGGGAUUAUAGGCAUGAGCCACCACGCCUGGCUUCACUUUUGGUUUUUGAGAAGUUCUCUCCAUCCUCCUGUAGUGGCAGUGGGGUUCCUUUUCCUUCUGGAACUUCACAUUUCACCCUAGGGCUCUGACCUGGUCUUCACAUGCUGCCAACUUCUUGUGACAAUCUAGCUGCCCACUGGAGGCAGCUCUUGGAAGUAUAGAAGCCACAUCUCUUUCAGCUUGGGUCUGUAGCACAUGGUAGUAGGAGCAGAGAAGAGAAACCAAUUUAUUGAGGGCUUGCCUUGUGCCAGUUUUGUGCUGGACACUUCACAUAUUCUCUUCCAAGUCUUCACAGUGAUGCUGUGUGAUUAUUAUGUCUGAUUUAUGAGUGAGAAAACCCAGGCUGAGAAGAGUUAAGGGACUUGUGGUCAAGUGGCAGGCUGAGAUUUGAAGUCAGGGCUACCUAACCUCAUCGCUUCUGCUCUUUCUGCUGCACUGACCUGUGGUGGAAAUAUUUCUUGGUAAUGUGCCCUCCCUCAGCUAUUAAAAUAGUUUUCCGGAAGCAUCCGUUGGAUGACCACUGUGGUGUCCAACUACAAGUAUAGUAGUUGCUUCCAGUUGCCUUAGGUCAGCACCUUCCUGCCCAAGCUAAGGGCAGUGCUUCCUGCUGGAGGUUGGCUCCUGGCCUUGUUUAACACCACUGUUUCCUGUCACUCCAUAGCUUGGUCAUCUACUCUGGCCAAGGAAAUGGGCCAGUCUUCAUUCUCUGCACUUGGCUGACUGGGGGCUUCCUGGGUCUUGGCUCACCCUGGAGCUCUUAGCACCCAUUUCCAGGUGGGUUCCUAAUGUUGCUGUGGUUAUCAAAUGAAGAAAGAGUGUGGGUUCAUCCCCAUCCCCAGAAAGGGCUACCACUCCUCUCCAAACCCAGUUCCUCAUCUGGAAGACCCAAGCCAAGGAAGUCCCUUGCAGCUGUGGCGGAGGAGGUCUGCUCACUCUGUGCUGUCAACCUGGAGGCAGGGGUUUGUCCCACUUGGAGACCUCGACUUUGCUCAUUGCUUCUCCAACCCUGUCAGUACUGUUGCUGCCUUUACACUGGCAUAAGCCAUGCUGACCCCACAGGUGAGCCUUGACACAUCUUUGGCCUGAAAUGUCCUUUUUUCCCUGGAGAGGUGGUUGGUCUUCCCUUGGAACCCUGCUCAGACAUCUCAUCGGUGAAGUUCUGUUCAAUUGACAUUGAUUGAGCCCCAGGUUGGACAUGUUAGUCUGUUCCUUGGGGUCCCUCUUAACUUUUUCCACCCUGCCCUGUGCCCCAGGAGGCUGACCUGUAUGGACUGCAUCACCAGGCUCCCAUUCUCAAAUCUGUCCUCCUGCAGGGCUGACCACACUCCUCAGUCGCAUGUCACAGCCCCCUCAGGCAGUGCUCCAUACUCUUGGGGCCUAUGCUUCAGGGCACUGCAGCACCCAAUGUACUGGUCCACACCUUUGUAAACAGUCCCUUUGUUAAGCUCUCCUCAAAUUAUCCCAAUUCAAGUGGCCCCAUUGCCUGCUUGGACCCUGACUGAUGCAAACAUUUACUGGGUGUACCCAGAUGGGCAAAGUAUGGAACCUGCUCUGGAGAAGCUCUUAGAAGGCAGACAGACCUAUGAGCAGUUUCUGCCUCCUGCAACAGAUGACAGGAGCCCAUGUGCUGUGGCAGCACUGACCCAGAGAGUCAGAAAGGCUUCCUGAGGAGAUACCCAGAGGCUCAAGUGGGAACACCCUUUCAUCCCAGCCAAAACCAGAAGUGUGAUGCCAGGUGGGAUGUGCCCGCUGUUUAGGACCCUAGAGGGUUGCGGCGGGGCUCAGGUGGCUGACGGCCUGGGCCACGAAAGGCUACAUGGGUUGCACUAGGUGCUGGGACUUUAACCCUGUCACUGCCCUACUUUAACUGGCCAGUGGCUCCCCAUCCCAGAUGGACAUUGAUAUGAUCACCCAGCUGCUGUGCAGGGAAUUCAUUAAGUUCCAGAGAUGGCCGGGCAUGGUGGCUCACACCUGUAAUCCCAGCACUUUGGGAGGCCAAGCCAGGGUGAUCAUCUGAGGUUGGGAGUUUGAGACCAGUCUGGUCAACACAGCGAAAUGCUGUCUCUACUAAAGAUACAAAAAUUAGCUAGGUGUUGUGGCAUGUGCCUGAAAUCCCAGCUAUUUGGGAGGCUGAGGCAGGAGAAUCACCUGAACUCGGCAGGUCGAGGUUGCAGUGAGCCAGUGUUGCACCACUGCACUCCAGUCUGGAUGACAGAGCAGAACUUUAUCUGGAAAAAAGAAAGAAAAAAAGAAGAUGAUACUAUAGUAGGGCAAGGCAGGGAUGGAGGCUAAGAGUUAAGAAAGAUUUGAGGGAAAAGAGCUAUUUAGUAGAUUGAGGUAGCUUGGCAUGGAGAAAGGGCCAUGCUGGGAAAUAGGUCAGGGAGUUCAGAAAUUCAAGUUAGCACAACAAAAUUAUCUUGGGAUAGGUUAUUGAGAGGUGGGCUUUGUGUUCAGAGGAACUUCAUAGUGAAGGAGAAUGGAGUUGGUAGGGGAGGUCUGGGGUGAGCACAGGGCAAGCUGUAGGCUGUCCCUGUAGAGAAGAGCUGGGCCAGCUCAGCUGCUGAUUGGUGGAGGCCUGGGUUGAGGUAGGGAGGGGAGAUACCAUGCACAGCUGGGGGUCUGGUGAGACUGCCUGUGAUGUGGGCCACAGAGAUUUCUCUCCUGCUGGCCUGUGCUGCUCCUUACCUUGCUCUUGUGCUCAGGAGCUGUCCCUCCUCUAAGCCAUGUCCAAGAAAUAAAGUGCAUCCAUGCCUCCCUGCACCUGGAGUCUUAAAGCUACUGGGCUAUUCAAUUGUUAAACUUCCCCUGAGAUGGAAUAGGCAGGAUCUGGUGAAAGUUUGGAGGUGGAAGGAGGCGAGGGUACUUUCUAGGGCUCUGGCUUGGUGGGGUGGAUGGGGCUCUUUAUGGAGUUUAGGAUCUUGGGAGGGGAGAGAGGAGAAGGGAGGGAGUUCUUUUCUGCUUGUUUAGUUGCAUGUGUUUUGUUGACAGUGGAAUACACCAAACAUAAGGUCUGGAGUGAGAACAAAGGGAGAGAGACUUGAGAGGCUUUAGAAAUACCGUGCUUCAAAUCAUGAGGUCACCCAAGGAGAGGCCAGGGAGAGAGGCGCAGUAAGGCAGGCUGGAGUACUGGGAAAGCUAGUGUUGAAGAGGCAGGUGGGCAGGAGGAAGCUGGGUGGAAGGUCUAGAAGACAGUCGAGAUGGGAGGAGGACCGGGGAGGUGGAGUCCUGGAAGCCAGGGAGAAGAUGUUCCAAGAGGAAGUGGUCAACCUCAACACAUGAAGUGAGGCCUGUGGAGGGACGAGUGGAGUGGCCACAGGUGGUCACUGGUGGAGCAGUGGUGUCAGGCAGCCUGUGGUGGGGUGAGAGGGGAAAGGGAAAGAGAGAGAUGGGCUGUAGCUGGAGGCUGACAAGGAUUUUAGGAUGGGAGACACCUGAGCAACUCUUCCUGUAAAUGGGUGAUCCUCCCCUUGUUUUGAGGGGGUCUUUGGUAAGAAGAUGUUGGCAUAGUAAGUUACUAAGAGAUUAAUAUUAUCAGCAAGAGAAGACCCACUAGUAUGGUCUGCAUGUUACCCUGAAGGCUGUCCGGUGAUGCCCAGACCCGGGGAAUUGGGACCAGGAGAUGGAGAGCCUAGGCUCUGGAUGGAGACCCCUGUGGGGGACCAAGUCUGGGGCUUAUCUGACAUGGACUGUAGGGUGAUUUGAUGGGGAAAGUGAACAACUAUUUGAUGCCACCCCUGGACUGUAUUUCUGACCAUCUGCUAGAUCAUCUGCUCUUCAGAUACCAUGGGUGCUGUCAAGGGCUUACAGCAGCAGUGAUCACAUUCACUAAACACUCCCUAGCCCAGUCCUCAGCAUUUUAUGUGCCCAGUAUAAUCUUAUCCUUCCUAGUGGCUUCGUGAGGUAGGUUCUUUCGGCAUCACUGGGUUUUGCCCUGUGCUACAGGCAUGAGAACCAAAGCCCAGAGAGGUGGGGUAACUUGUCUAAGGUCCUAGGCCUGGGAAAUGGUGGCGCUGGGCUGCCUAACCCCACUGCAGUGCCUCUGCACCAUGGUUGAUUGUUUAUGGGUGGAAGUCAGGGUUGAGGGGCAGUGGUGACUGAUGGAAGGAGACCCCAAUGGAGGAGAAAAGAGGAGAACCUGAGCAAGUGAAAGGGCACCUCAUUCCCUGAGCCUGUUGGGGGGACUGGGUGCUCAGAGAGGCAAGCUUGUAUGUUAGUUGGGAGAGGGAGGUUGUUUUUUGGGAAUGAGGGGAAGGUUGGAAGGGGAAAGGUGGGGCCAGCUGCCAGGGGGAAGGUGAGGAUGGAAAAGGGGUUAUCUGUAUACUGAGGGUGCUGGGACCCAUGAUCUCCCCUGACAGAGGAGAUCUGCCACCAGCAGGGCUUGGUGGCCAAGUGAAGGAGGAGAAACGAGAUAUUUUGUAUUUGAGUCUGCAGGGCAGGGUAGAGGAUGUGGCCCCUCUCAAAGGGUUUGCUGCCCAGGACAGGGUCAACUCUGCUUUUCUCCAUGGUUUCUGGUCUUGAACAUAGCUCUUCCUGGGUGCCCCAUACAGGGCUGUACUCAUUGAAGUGACACUGACUCUAGGAGAUAUGUCAUGUGUGACUUUGGUGGAGGGUAAGGAAUGUGUCUUUUUAUAUCUCCAGUACCUAGAACAGUGCUGGCACCUGGAAAUAUUGCUUGAACCCACUGUCUUGUCUUCCUAUGAGUUCAAGGAUAGGAGCAGCUUGACACACAGUAGGUGAUGGAAUAUUUGUUACAGUGACCUGGACAUGCAAGGGGAGGAGCCCGGGCUGCUGCUGCCUCUCUGGAAACCCUGUCUCCCCUUGGGUUUCUGCUUCUCCCAACCUACAUGUACACACACACACACACACACACUCACAUGCCAAUACAUGUAUUCUCACAGACACAGGCUCACACUCAGACAUGCAUACUCAUUUACACACUUACAUAUAUGAGCACAUAACACAUGUACACUUGGACGCACACACUAUUUCAGUCAGAACUGCUCCUGCAGAGUCUCUCCAGCCCCAGGGCCUAUCCUGCAGCCUCCUAGUGGCGCUGCUGUGGUGUGACCCAGAGAGCCUGGACAAGGACUCUUUUCUCAGUGUAAUCACUCCUAAUUUGUCCGUGACAGAUUUAGGCUCAGAGCCCAAGGGGGUUGCAGACUCUGGGUGAGCCUUUGUCUCUGCCCUUGAGAAGGUCCCAGUUGCCUGAAGCUCUUGGUCAGAACUAAAGGAAACCAAGGGCACGGGCGCAUAACAGUACCUUCUGUGCAUGCUAGAUGCUUGGCGCAAGGGAUUUCAUGCACUCCUUACAACAACUUUGUGAAGCAGGUUUACUCACCUCAGUUUGUAAUGUGGAAACUGAGGCUUGGUUGUUAAAAUUAAUUGCCCAAAGUUGCACAGUAAAAGAUGGAGCCAGGAUUUGGGCCCGGGUCUGACUCCAGAAGUCCUCUCUUUCAGCACUAGAUGGAAUCCUUGUUGACAGAACGAGAGAGAAGGGGCUUUAUGUUGCCCAGCUUGUCCUUUUGAGCAGAUAACAUGGUAUUAUCCAGAACAUAAAGGUAUGAAAGUUAAUAUGGGCCCUUCAAAACCCUGAAACUUGCUAAGGGUUGUGGACCCUCUCCCCAGAUAGUGCAUGUAUGCAGAGGCAUACAUGGGUUACUUUGGGUACAACUUCAGGGAUUUGAGGUCCCCCUGAAACCUCCAGUGACUCCCAAGUUGAGAACCCCCGUGAGAGGUGUUUAAUAAUGAUGUGACAGAUGGGAAGAGAUGACUGUACAUGCCCUGCACAGAGCACACAUCACAGUGCCCAGAGUGGUCUGUACAUAUUCCUUUCAGCCUGUUUCUAAUAGUGAGAAUUGGAAACAAUCUGAAUAGCCAUCAGUAGGGGCCUGAGUAAAUAAGCAAAGUCCAUGUGUGCCAUGGCAUAGCACACAGUUGUUCCAAGAAAGGAUGGUGUAGGUAUCGAUAGAUAGAGCUCUCCAAGACAUAUUGUUGAAUGGGAAAAAGCACAUUGAAGAGUGAGUGAUAUACACAUAAAGUAUUCUGUUUUUUUUGUUGUUGUUUUUGGUUUGUUUUAAGAUAGGGUCUCACUCUGUCACCCAGGAUGGAGUGCAAUGGUGCGAUCUUGGCUCACUUCAGCCUCCACACCCCAGAUUCAAGGUGUCUCAAUCUCCUGCAUAGCUGGGGUCACAAGCGUGUGCCACCAUGCCCAGAAAAUUUUUGUAUUUUUAUAGAGAUGAGUUUUUGCCAUGUUGGCCAGGUUGGUCUCGAACUCCUGGUCUCAAGUGAUUCACCCACCUCAUUCUUCCAAAGUGCAGGGAUUACAAGCGUGAGCCACUGUGCCCAGCCCCACACACGUUAUUUAUGUAAACUAAAAAUACUCAAUAUUAUUUCCUACAGAUACAGAAGCAUUUAUGGGGCCAGGUGUGGUGGCUCAUACCUAUAAUCCCAGCACUUUGGGAGGCCAAGUUAGGCAGAUCACUUGAGCCCAGGAGUUCGAGACCAGCCUGGCCAACAUGGUGAAACCCUGUCUCUACUAAAAAUAUAAAAAUUAGCUGGGCCUGGUGGCAUGCACCUAUAGUCCCAGCCACUUGGGAGGCUGAGCAUGAGGAUCACCUGAACCUGGGAGGUAGAGGCUACAGUGAGCUGCAAUAUUAUACCACUGCACUCCAGCCUGGGCCCCAGAGUAAGAGACCCUGUCUCAAAAAAAAAAAAACAAAACAAACACUAGAACAAUACCCAAGACAGUACUAAUAGUGAAAGUUCCUUUGGGGAAGGAGGAGGGUAGAAGGUUCCUGGUCAAAGGUGAUACAGCUCUUAAUAAGGAGAAUAUAUCCCUAUAUUAUUUGUCUAUGUAAAACCACAAAUAAUUUUAAAAUGCAGUGCACACACGGGUAUGGGGGAAUGAGGGCAAGAGGAAGGGAUUCUGAAGGAGGUUUUAUGGGAUAGAGCUUUUAUAUCAGACAAGCCUGUAUUCUAGUCCUGAUCUUGACAAUUACCUGCCAGUGAUUUUGGGUAAGUCACCUUACUCUGAGUCUCAGUUUCCUCAUUUGAGAAGUGGUGAUGACAAUGUCUGCCUUCCAGGGCUCUUAUGGGGAUAUGUAGUAGGCCAAACAAUUCUUGGCACAUAGUAGGUGCUCAGUGCAUUAUAGCCAUUAUUGUUAUUUUAAAUGUCAGCCAAAAAUAACCACUUGAGCUCUUACUAGGUGACAGUUGGAUUAAGGGCGUUGGGACUGUAUCUGGUCCAAUCAGGGAUGACUUCCUGGGGGAGGAGGAUCUUGAGCUACUUAAAUAUAUGUGGGAAGCAGGGCAGCACUGAGUUAGAGAGAUGGCUGUAUGGAGGCCAGGGAGGGAUUAUGCCUGUGUGCCUAUUAUUAGUAAUGAUAUUACUUAUUUCCAUAUUAUAGACAGAGGGAGAGUCCAAGCAACUUGCUCACAGAUACAUAGCUAGUAAGUGUAGAGUGUUCAUAUGGAAGGGAUGGGCUGAGGAAGAGAAAUGGGAAAAUCCAGGAAACUGGGAUAGUUCUGUGGGAGGGGAAGGGAAAAAAAGAAUGGGCUUUGUGGUCAGAAAGAUUCCUGAAGAGAGGGAUGUGGGGGAUUUAACAAACCAGCAUUGCCCUUUACUUAAAAAAAAAAAAAAAAAGUGGGGAGAGCAGGCUCAGGGUAGAUGUAGAACCUUAAAGUCUUGCCUUUGCAAAAUGCUCUUGACAGAGGCCACUGGCUCUCCAUCUCCCCUGGGCCCAAGCAGAAAGGAUUGGGGCCCCUCCUCACAGGAAGGGGUGCUAGGCUGAGUACUAGGAGGCCAGGGCUUUUCCCCAGGAACCCUCCAAUAACUCGGUGGAUUGAGAGCUGGAUGGCUGUCAGUACUGUGCCAAAUGAGGUCGCCGCCUUCCCUGUAAUCUGGCAAUUCCACUUGCUAGGUUUUCGGGCAGAGCUGUAAGGGUUCCCGUCAAUAUAACAGUCGUGGCAGGGUUACUGGGGUGUUGGAGGGAACUUGGGUGCCUUUCACCCUCAGAGUGGGUAAAUAAAUGCGGAAGGUACCCACCAGGAACUAAAUGUGCAACAUGGAUGAGGUUUAAGAAUAUAGUGCUGAGUGAAAACAAAUAAGAAAAAAAAAAUACACACACACACACAUACAUAUAAUGUGUAUAUGUGUAAUGUACUAAGUGUGAAACUAAAAAAUAAAUGCACUUGUUUUGCAAGGACAGAUACAAAUGGUUGGCUAUGGGUUAAAAUGAGGAAUAAGAAUAAAAAUGAGAAAAAUGCCUUGUGAAAUCCAGUUUCUCUGCAGGUGGGAGGGGAGGCCAAGCAGUCAACCCACAUUUCUGUGCACAUUGCACCAUCUAGUGGGCAAAGAGGCUUUCAGCUGCCCUGGUCCAGGAGCUGUGCAACCAUGGCACCAUGACAUCCUGGGCAGGUGCUGCCUCACCUGGGCCCCCUGGAGUAGAGGAAAGGGGUGAGCGCUCCCUGUGGAGUGGGGGACAGGCACGGUCUGCUGUAGGCCUGUCCAUCAGGGCUGGCAGCUAUUUCUGUUAUGUGGGGGAGGAGGGUUCAGACAGGCCUGCUUGCCUCCUCCAGGGGCUGUCUGAGCUCAGGGUCAGCUCCUCACCACCUGCUGUGGCAGGCAGGCAGGUCGUUCCUGAGGAGGGAGCAGCUGGGGCUCUGAUGCCAAAUUCUCACAUGUAGCCCUCCCUCCUGGCAGGAAAUGGAGUACAUGGCAGGAUCAUCAUGAAGCAAAGAGGAGAGAGGAGAGCAGGUAGAGACACUCAGAGUCUAGAGAGAGCAAUGACUACCUUGAGGUGGAGCACAGAUGACAGACCCUGGCACCAGACUGCCCCAGGGUUCACAUCCCUUGGGCAAGUCCCCUGUGCCUCAGUUUCCCCUCCUUGGAAUAUAAUAGUACCUACCUUGUGGGGAUGAAGUGAGUCAAAAUAGGUUCCCUUUUAAGAUCAGGGCUGUGUAAGCAUAUCUGAGGGUCACCCAAUUCCUGUAAAGCCAGCACUCUGCCCUUAUCCUUCAUUGGAGUCCCGGAGCAUGAACAGAAUGGCUUGUGUUGAUAGGGGUCACUGCAGCAGGACCUGGGGCUAUGGGCUAGGAAUGGACUCCAGCCAUGGACCCAGGUCAAACUUUGGGGAGGGAGGUAGGAUGAAGCAGGGUAGGGACUGGGGACUGGGGACUCCGCAUUCUUUAUUUGUUGCCCAGGCUGGAGUGCAAUGGCACCAUCUUGGCUCACUGCAACCUCUGCCUCCCAGGUUUAAGUGAUUAUCCUCCCCUCAGCCUCCUGAGUAACUGGGAUUAUAGGCUCCUGCCACCAUACCUGGCUAAUUUUUUUGUAUUUUUAAUAGAGGUGAGGGCUCACCGUGUUGUCAAGGCAGGUCUUGUGACCUCAGGUAGUCCGCCUCCCUGGAUCUCCCAAAAUGUUGGGAUUAUAGGCGUGUGCCACUGCUCCCAGCCAGACACCGCAUUCUUGGGGUCUGUAAAAAUGCUUUCUUAGUCGGGUGUGGUAGCUCACACCUGUAAUCCCAGCACUUUGGGAGGCCGAGGCUGGUGGGUCACCUGAGGUCAGGAGUUUGAGACCAGCCUGGCCAACAUGGUGGAAACCUGUUUCUACUAAAAAUACAAAAACUAGCCAGGCAUGGUGGCACACACCUGUGGUCUCAGCUACUCAGGAGGCUGAGGCAAGAGAAUUGCUUGAACCUGGGAGGCGGAGGUUGCAGUGAGCCGAGAGUGUGCCAUUGCACUCCAGCCUGGGAGACAAGAGUGAAACUCCAUCUCAAAAAAACAGUAACAGCCAAAGAAAUAACAACCAAAUCAAAAAUGCUUUCUUAUCUACUGCUCAGUUUGUUCCCAAAUACCCCCCAGCCAGGUCGUUGAGGUUGUGUGUGAUUAGGAUACAUGAGUUCCUGUCCAGGGGGGACCUGGCAGUCUUGGUUACCUCUGGGGCUUGAGGGACCCUGUCCUGCUCCACCUCUUUCUGCAGCCUCUGGCCAUUUAUUUUAGCUGCCCCUGCCCCCACACCAGCCUCUCCAGGCUCCUGCAUCACAGUCAUUUUUCUAAAGCACACUACCGUUCAGCCUGUUGAAGAACUUGCCUUGGCUCCUCAUUGCCCAGAAAUUCAAUGGAGACAUCCUUGGUAGGCAUUCAGGGUCCCUUCUGGCCUGGCCCAUCCUGCCUUCCACGUUUGUCUCCUGCCAGUUCUACUCUCAGCAACUCCAUUGCCUCUUAGCUCCCACCAGGCCUCAUGUACCACACCCCUGGCCUUGCUCAAGUUAUUCUUGCUUUGAGUGCUCUUCCUCCCCACUUUUCCACCUGUCAGAAUCCUCCUCAUCCUUAGGGACCCAGUUAGCUCCUCCAAUGAAGACUUCCCUGGCAAACUGCGCCCCCCACCCUAGGCUCCUCUCAUAAACCACUUGUCAUUAACCACUUACUAGUUAUCAUAUUUUGUCAUAGCCAGCCAGUUCCUGUUCAGUGACUAGAGGAAAGAAAAUAUGGUGGACUUUGUUACCAGAAUGUAUGGUAGAAUCUCAGCUUGGCUAUGCACUAGCUGUGUGACCCUGGGCAAGUUACUUAACCUCUCUGAGCUUCAGUUUCUCACCUACUACAUGGGGAUAAAGCUCUUAUUCAACCUGGAUUCCUCACCAGGGCCUGCAAGGACUUGCCUGCCCUGCCUCCCUCCUCUCCUGUUGCUUGCCACAUAUCUCACCCACAUCAGUGUCCCUGCUCCUCCUUGAACUUGCCUCCUGGCCUUUGCACCUGCUCUUCUCUACCUGGAAUAUUUCCUUCUCAUUCCAUCCUCCACCUCAUUUCCAAUGUCACCUCAGAGAGGCCCUCCGUGACCAGCCUCUCUAAAUCCCCCACGUGGUUCUACUUCAUCUCUCUUUCUGUCUGUUUUCUUCUAGGGCUUAUCUCAAUCUGAAAUUUCCCUACUCUUUGGCUUGGUGGUCAGCUCUGUGAGUAUGGGCUCUUUUCUCUGGGAUUACAGGAGAUGAACAGACUUGAUAUGUGUUAGUCCUGACUUCUCCUCCCCCAGGUCACACCUACCUGCUCAUCUGUGAGCCCUUUCAGGGCAGGGCAUCAUGUCUCCUUCAUGUUUGCUUUCUUGACCCCAGCAGUGUGCCUGGUCCAUAGUGAGCCCUUAGCCUGUAUUUGCUGCCUGCCUGUCAUUGUCUUCCCCAGCCUUUUUCCUUGUCAGCCCCUGGUGAUCUCCUGAUGGUUUCUAACACAUGCUGCAGGUUGCAUGUGGGACUGAGCCUGGUAUCUCCCAGAGCGGGAGAUGUCUUUGCCACUUACUUUGCUUUCCAGCCCAAGACAGGAUUUUGAGUGGAGAGUUUGAGGUAUGUUGUAUAUUACUGGCUGUAGUGUUAGGGACCUUGGCCAUGUCCUUAGCAUUACCCUGUGUGGUAGGACAAUACCUAGAAUGGUCUGGUCAAACCCGAGAGACUUGGAGAAGGCCAAGAAGACACAGUGAUGCCCAUAGGCCCCUCUCAGUGGGGAGAUUGGGCUAUAACUUGCCCAGGCAGAGUGGGGUCCAUACCGUCUGAUGAAGCUUCAUUUGGUUCAGAGGAAAAUUGCUCUGUGAACACAGACCAUCCCUUCUUAAGUUGACCCAGAGGUCUGGUGAUUGGGUGAGUGUGAUGGCUCCAUGUUACCCACCUCCUCUGGCACCAGGUCGUGGGGACCAGUCUGUUGGUAUGCAGAGGCUGUGGUGUACCCAGCCUGGCAUCAGUGAUGCUGGGAAGAGGGAGUGCUAUUGCCUGUCUGCUACUGUGGGAAUGACAGGGAGGGCUGGAGGGAGUGACCUGGCAGGAAUGGAACCCAGGGCCCAUGCCCUCCUCAUGCUCACUGAUCAAGUGAAGUAGGAUUCACUUCCUGCUGGGAGAGGGAGAGUGGGGUUAGGGGGCACAAGGAUUUAUCAAUCAAAUUUCAAAAAUUCAUUUUGAAAACUGGCAUAAAGGUUGAUGGCAUCUUAUUUUGUCAAGUAAGGACACAGGAUAGGUAAAAAAUUUAUUUUCUACUAUUGUACCCUAAAAAACGAAUAUUUAAAAAAAAAAGAAUAGUUCUUCUCUAGAAAGGCAGAUCAGCAUUCUUAUGCUGACAUUUUGAGCUGUGGACAGGGGAGAACAAGGUCAGAAACCAGCUCUUGGGAAUUGCUGGGUUAGAAGUUUGGAGAGCAUGUGCAUGUGAAGGGACAUAGUGUUGGAGGAGGUUGCUGACCUGGUGGCGUGAUGGGAGGGAAAGAGCCUGAAUAUUUCCUGGAUUAGUCCAGAAUAUUUCCUGGAUUAGUCCAGAAAUUCUUUAGUCCCCUCUGCACUUAGGCUUCCUGUGGAUUAACUUGUUCUCUCUUUGAAUGUGUGUACAUCCUGCAGGCAGGGUCCAUCAGGGAACCUGGACAAGUGGUGCCCUGUGCACAGCCUCCUGGGAGUGUGUCUGCAUAGGUGAAAUCUGGCUGGGAUAAAUGUCAAGGGCAUGUGUGGGGAAAAGAGAGGGAGGAAGGAAACCAACUCUUGCUGGUCCUUACUGUGUGUCUUGCACUAUGCUUAGGACUUUUUCAUGAGUUAGUGAAGAGCUGCUUCUUAUCUCCAUUUUACAGAUGAGAAAACUGAGGCCCAGAAAGACUCAGUGAUUUGCCCAGGGUCACACAGCCAGUGGUGGAACCAGCAUUUACAUUCAGGCCUGCAUGAGCUCAAGGUCAGAGCUUUUAUUUCUCCAGCAGGCCAAGGCACAAAAAAUUUUAAAAACAACUUGCGUCCCAUCUUCCUAUCGGCAUAGUGUCUGGCAGACAUGUUUUUGAUUUGUUCUGUCCAUCUGGAAACACUGUAGCUGACUGUGUUGGCAGCCCCUGGGCCCUUAGAAGGGAGAUUCAAAACUCACGUUUUUUUUCUUUUUAACUUAAGAGAAUUCUGGUAAGGUACACAUUAAAGUUGCCAUUUUAUUUAUCUUAUUUAUUUUGAAGACAGUCUCACUCUGUUGCCCAGGCUGGGGUGCAGUGGUGCAAUCUUGGCUCACUGUAACCUCUGCUUCCUGGGUUCAAGUGACUCUCCUGUCUCAGCCUCCCGAGCAGCUGGGAUUACAGAUGUGUGCCACCAUGUCCGGCUAAUUUUUUGUAUUUUUAGUAGAGGUGGGGUCUUACCAUGUUGCCCAGGCUGGUCUCAAACUUCUGAGCUUAGGCAAUCCACCCACCUUGGCCUCCCAGUGUUGGGAUUACAGGUGUGAGCCCUGCAUCUGACCUUAAAGUGUAUAAUUUAGCAGCAUUUAGUACAUUGAAAAUGCUGUGUGGGCUGGGCAUGGUGGAUCACGCCUGUAGUCCCAACACUUUGGGAAGCUUAGGCGGGUGGAUUGCUUGAGCCCAGGAGUUCAAAACCAGCCUGGGCAACAUAGGGAGACCUGUAUCUACAAAAAAUAAAAUGAGUGGUUGUGAUAGAGCGCCCAUGUAGUUGGCUACUUGGGAGGCUGAGGUGGGAGGAUUGCUUGAGUCCAGGAGGUUGAGGCUGUGAUAAACAGAGGUUGUGUCACUGUACUCCAGCCUGGGUGACAGAGUGAGACUCUGUCUCAAAAAAAAAAAAAAGGAAAAGAAAAGAAAAUGCUGCCUGACUGUCACCACUCCCCUGUGGUGCUAUUAGCAGUCACUCCCCAGUCCCUGCCUCCCAGCCCCUGGCAGCCAGCAAUCUGCAUUCUGUCUAUAAAUCUGCCCAUUCUGGACAUUUCCUAUAAAUGGGAUUGUACACUAUAUGGCCUUUUGCUUCUGGCUUCUUUUCUCAGCAUAAUGUUUUCAAGGUUCAUCCAUGUCGUAGCAUGUAUCAGUAUUUUGCUUCUUUUUAUGACCGAAUAUUAUUCUGUUGUAUAAAUAUAACACAUUAUGUUUAUCCAUUCAUCAGUGGUGGACACUGGGGUUGUUCCACCUUUGAGGCUGUGAAUAGUGCUGCUGUGAAUAUUCUUGUGCAAUUUUUUUUUUUUUUUUUUUUUUUUUUUUUUUUUUGAGACAGAGUCUCACUCUGUCACCCAGGCUGGAGAGCAGUGGCACAAUCUUGGCUCACUUCAACCUCUGCCUCCUGGGUUCAAGUGAUUCUCCUGCCUCUGCCUCCUGAGUAGUUGGGAUUAUAGGCACACACCACCAUGCCCAGCUAAUGUUUGGAUUUUUAGUAGAAACGGGGUUUCACCGUAUUGGUCAGGCUGGUCUUGAUCUCCUGAUCUCAUGAUCCACCUGCCUUGGCCUUCCAAAGUGCUGGGAUUACGGGUGGGAGCCACGGCGCCUGGCCAGCAAGUUUUUGUCCAACUAACUGUAUUUAAUUUUUUUUUAGUCUGUACUAACAGCAGAAUUUCAGUGUCCUGUGGUGAUUCCGUGUUCAGUUUAUGCUGGGACUGCCAAACUGUUUCACGGCAGCUGCACCAUUUUACAUUCCCACUAGCAAUGUGUGAGGGAUCUCAUUUCUCCACACUGUCACCAACACUUAGGUUUCAUUAAAGAUUUUUAUUAUAACCACCCUAGUGGGUGUGAAAUGGUAGCUCAUUUUGAUUUUUAUUAAAAUUUCUUAAUGACAUCGACCAUCUUUGCCCUUAACUCUUUGGGGUGCUGCAGGUAGGCCUCUCCAUGCCAUGCCUCUGCCUCAUAGUCAUCUGUCCAGUGGUGGUGUGAGGGUUAAAUGAGAAAAUCAUGCGAAGAACUCAGCAUCUAUGCCAGGCAACUAGUAGGGGCCCUUAAGACCAACUCAGACAGUCCCAGGCCUGCCCUAGUCAGCUGGUAGGGAGGCUGGACCUCAGAGGACCCUCCUGGCUCUGACCAAUGUGUAAGUCAGAGCUCCUCCCACUGCCUGGCAGUCCCCUGUGCCCACUCUGCCUCCACUGUCCUGGACUCCCUGGGGAACUGUGACCCUUCAGACGCUGGGAUGACAUUUAUUACAUUUAUGGGGGGUAGCAUUUUCACAGACCCUCCUGGCCCCUGGGUGCCUUCCCUUCUGGAUGCUCUCUUGGCACUGCCCUCAACUACUGGAGCAUAAUGGGAAGUGCCUGGAAGUCUAUCCCCUUCAUGUUGGCUCUUAGCCAAUGACGGGGGUUCAGGAGAGUAAGCUUCCAGCUCCCUGCCUGGGGCAAGGACAACCCUGAGGUGUAACUUAGACUUCCCAGUUCCCCUUCGAGAUCAGGCUGAAGCCAUCCUCUGCAGAGCUUUGCCUGAAUCUGCACCCUUUUUGGCCUCUUCCUUUCUUGUCUUGCUCCCCCAGUCCCUCUCCAGUUUCCCUGGAAGCACUCCCAAAUCAUUUAGCUAUGAAUUUUUGUCUCAGGCUCUGCUUCUGGGGAACCUGACCUAAGACAUGGAGCACCUACUGUAUGCCAAGCCCGUGGAAAAUACUCAAAUAGACAAAGAUAAACAAGAUGCAUUUCCUUCCCCAAGGAGCUCAUGACUUGGUUGGGGCGGUCCUGAUCGCAGUAGUAAUGCUAAUAGCCCAUGUUUUACACCUUCUAUGUGCCAGGCCCUAGGAUGAAUGCUUUGCAGUGAAGCUAGAAGAUUCAUUUAAACCUUCUGGCUCUUCUGGUUCUUGGCGCUUCGGGAGCCACGGCUUAAGAUACAGACAUGUCAAAGUCCAAGAGCCACACCACACAGAACCAGUCCCAAAAAUGGCACAGAAAUGGCCUUAGGAAACCCCAAUCUCAAAGAUAUGCAUCUCUUAACGGGGUGGACCCCAAGUUCCUGAGGAGCAUGCAUGUGCCAAGAAGCACAACAGGAAGGGCGUAAAGAAGAUGCAGGCCAACAGUGCCAAGGCCAUGGGUGCACAUGCUGAGGCUAUCAAGGCCCUUGUAAAGUCCAAGGAGCUUAAGGCCAGGAUCCCAAAGGGUGUCAGCCACAAGCUCGAUUGACUUGCCUGCAUUGUCCAACCCACGCCUGGGAAGUGUGCUCGUGCCCGCAUUGCCAAGGGGCUCAGGCUGUGCCAGCCAAAGGUCAAGGCCAAGGAUCAAACCAAGGCCCAGGCUGCAGCUCGAGCUUCAGUUCCAGCCCAGGAUCCCAGAGGUCCCCAUGCCUCUACAAAGGCUUCAGAGUAGAGAGCUCUGUCUGCCAAUGUGAGGACAGGACUGGUGUGACCCACCCUGGGCUGCUGUCUGCAUAGGGCUGGGAUCCUCCUGUGCUAUUUGUACAAAUAAACCUGAGGCAGAAAAGAAAAACAAAAACCUUCUAACAACUU